UGGGGAAUAUUGGACAAUGGGCGCAAGCCUGAUCCAGCCAUGCCGCGUGUGUGAAGAAGGCCUUCGGGUUGUAAAGCACUUUUGUCCGGAAAGAAAUCCAUUCGAUUAAUACUCGGAUGGGAUGACGGUACCGGAAGAAUAAGCACCGGCUAACUUCGUGCCAGCAGCCGCGGUAAUACGAAGGGUGCAAGCGUUACUCGGAAUUACUGGGCGUAAAGCGUGCGUAGGUGGUUCGUUAAGUCUGAUGUGAAAGCCCUGGGCUCAACCUGGGAAUGGCAUUGGAUACUGGCGACCUAGAGUGCGGUAGAGGGGUGCGGAAUUCCCGGUGUAGCAGUGAAAUGCGUAGAUAUCGGGAGGAACAUCCGUGGCGAAGGCGGCACCCUGGACCAGCACUGACACUGAGGCACGAAAGCGUGGGGAGCAAACAGG
rnacentral:rRNA from 1 species